UGGUAAUUAUUAUAAUUUUCCUUAAUGUAGGAGCGAAUUGCAUGUGGAUUUUGGAGCUUAGAUUAUAGGCGAUUUGGGGUAACUGAUGAAGGAGUGAUAGGGCGAACUCAUGUGAAUGUAUUUUACGCCGUAGUUAUUUUGUUAGUUUAGUAUGUUCGCAGACCUUGAUUUCCAUGUAACUAUUUUUUGUUUUGACUCA
rnacentral:lncRNA from 1 species